rnacentral:rRNA from 1 species
GAUGAACGCUGGCGGCGUGCCUAAUACAUGCAAGUCGAGCGAACGGACGAGAAGCUUGCUUCUCUGAUGUUAUCGGCGGACGGGUGAGUAACACGUGGAUAACCUACCUAUAAGACUGGGAUAACUUCGGGAAACCGGAGCUAAUACCGGAUGAUAUUUUGAACCGCAUGGUUCAAAAGUGAAAGACGCUCUUGCUGUCACUUAUAGAUGGAUCCGCGCUGCAUUAGCUAGUUGGUAAGGUAACGGCUUACCAAGGCAACGAUGCAUAGCCGACCUGAGAGGGUGAACGGCCACACGGGAACUGAGAAACGGUCCAGACUCCGACGGGAGGCAGCAGUAGAGAAUCUUCCGCAAUGGGCGAAAGCCGGACGGAGGAACGCCGCGUGAGUGAUGAAGGUCUUCAGAUCGUAAAACUCUGUUAUUAGGGAAGAACAUAUGUGUAAGUAACUGUGCACAUCUUGACGGUACCUAAACAGAAAGCCACGGCUAACUACGUG